ACGAACGCUGGCGGCAUGCCUAACCCAUGCAAGUCGCACGAGACCUUCGGGUCUAGUGGCGCACGGGUGCGUAACGCGUGGGAACCUGCCCUUAGGUUCGGAAUAACUCCCCGAAAGGGGUGCUAAUACCGGAUAAUGUCUUCGGACCAAAGAUUUAUCGCCUUUGGAUGGGCCCGCGUUGGAUUAGCUAGUUGGUAGGGUAAAAGCCUACCAAGGCGACGAUCCAUAGCUGGUCUGAGAGGAUGAUCAGCCACACUGGGACUGAGACACGGCCCAGACUCCUACGGGAGGCAGCAGUGGGGAAUAUUGGACAAUGGGCGAAAGCCUGAUCCAACAAUGCCGCGUGAGUGAUGAAGGCCUUAGGGUUGUAAAGCUCUUUUACCCGGGAUGAUAAUGACAGUACCGGGAGAAUAAGCUCCGGCUAACUCCGUG
rnacentral:rRNA from 1 species